AUGAAUCCACUGUGGUUCUUCGUCUUCCUGGUGUCAGCUCCCAGAGGUGUCCUGUCCCAGGUGCAGCUGCAGGAGUCGGGACCCAGCCUGGUGAAGCCCUCCCAGACACUCUCCCUCACCUGCACUGUCUCUGGAUUCUCAUUAACCAGCUAUGCUGUAGGCUGGGUCCGCCAGGCUUCAGGAAAGGGGCUGGAGUGGGUUGGUGAGAUGGGUUAUAGUGGAAGCACAUAUUAUAACCCAACUCUUAAGUCCCGGCUCAGCAUCACCAGGGACACCUCCAAGAGCCAAGUCUACUUAUCGCUGAGCAGCCUGACAACUCAGGACACAGCCGUGUAUUACUGUGCGAAAGACACAGUGAGGGGAAGUCAGUGUGUCCUGUCCCACGUGCUGGGGCAGGAAUCGGACCCAGGACUAUUGGAGAACCUCUCCCUUACCUGUUCAGUCUAUGGAUUCUCCAUCACAAACAGUGCUGACUGCUGGGACUGGAUCCCUCAGCCCCCAGAGAAAGCAUACGAGAUGUCUCUCCAAAAAUGACUCUCCACCUCCAGAGACAGCUCACAAAUUCAGUUUUCCCUGCAGCUCAGCUCCGUGAUGACCUAGGACACAGCCCUGUGUUACUGUCCCAGGAGGUUCAGUGAGAAGUCAGGGUGA